UACGUAGGGUGCAAGCGUUUAUCCGGAAUUAUUGGGCGUAAAGAGCUCGUAGGCGGUUUGUCGCGUCUGCUGUGAAAACUGGAGGCUCAACCUCCAGCCUGCAGUGGGUACGGGCAGACUAGAGUGCGGUAGGGGAGAUUGGAAUUCCUGGUGUAGCGGUGGAAUGCGCAGAUAUCAGGAGGAACACCGGUGGCGAAGGCGGGUCUCUGGGCCAUUGACUGACACUGAGAAGCGAAAGCAUGGGGAGCGAACAGG
rnacentral:rRNA from 1 species